ACAGCAGUCGCCGCGGGAAUACGGAGGAUCCAAGCGUUAUCCGGAAUCAUUGGGUUUAAAGGGUCCGUAGGCGGUCUUGUAAGUCAGUGGUGAAAGCCCAUCGCUCAACGGUGGAACGGCCAUUGAUACUGCAGGACUUGAAUUAUUGGGAAGUAACUAGAAUAUGUAGUGUAGCGGUGAAAUGCUUAGAGAUUACAUGGAAUACCAAUUGCGAAGGCAGGUUACUACCAAUUGAUUGACGCUGAUGGACGAAAGCGUGGGUAGCGAACAGGAUUAGAUACCCCUGUAGUCCCUGUCUCUUAUAA
rnacentral:rRNA from 1 species